UUUUAAUUUUCAAUUCAAUUAAACUCAAUACAAACUUUACUAAACCCUGCAAAGGCUACUGAGGCAGAUGCACACAUGAUAGUUAGGAGAACACACUUUUAAAGCUAAAAUCAAUCAAAUGCUUAAAAGAAACUAUAGCUAUUAUGUAAAUUAUAAUAUUGUGUGAAAGUAUUCAAAUAUUUAGAAAUGUGGAGGAUGAGAAUAUGAGAUAUAUGAGUGAUGAUAACGAAGCACUUUGCAUUAAAUUGUAAUGCUAUAAUCAACAAUUAGUGAUUUUUUUACGAAAGAAAUUGAUUGAACUUCCAGUUUUUCCAGUUUCUUUCAAUCUUGAAUCUGUGAUAAAAGUUUAACAUUUUGUAAAUCAAUUUGAAUUCAGCCAAAUUAAAUAAAAUUGCAGUUAGAAAAGUAAAACACGUACCGAACCGAGCAAUGUGAUUUCUAUCAGUUUUAUAUUUAUGAUCCCAUAGCAAGUUAAAUAUCCCUACAAGUGAAAUUAAUUUCAGCAAAUUAAACUAAUAUGUUACAAAUUGUUUCUCUAAAUUUCUAAUUUAUCUCUGAAAUCUUUAUAUAAUAAUAGUAAAUCUACCCAAAAAUAAACUUUUCAUAUAAAUAUUUAGCCUAUAAGGAUGUUUUUUUUUUUUUAUUAUGUAGAUUCUUUGUUUUUCUUCUUUUAUUUAUUAAAAAUAGGCCUAUUACAAAUGUUGGGAGAAGCCUGGGUCCACACACUUGGCACCCAAUCAGAAGGCUUCUUUUUGCCAUUUUAAUCACCUGACUACGACCAUAAAACAAAUUUGUGCUUCUUGUUUUAGGCUCCCUCAUAGGUGGCAGUGCAUUUAGCAAAUGGCAGAUUGGAGCAGCCCCUCCUCUCUCAUCAGUACAGCUGCUGUCUCUCUACUUCCUGAUUGCUCCUAGUGACAUCAGCUGCUAAAAAACACCAACACAAGUAGCCUUGAAUUUUAUUUUAUCAAUUUUUUAAUAAAUACUCCUCCUUGUUUAUUAUCUACUUCAACCAGUUACAUAAAAGUUACUUUACAGACUGAACUGUUUGUUUCCUGCAUGCUCUCCUUUGAGAGAUGAAAUAAUUUCAGUGUUCAACACCAAGCCCACCAAGUCUCCUGCUGUCAUCAUCAAAACUCGGUGACAGUCGCCGAGGCCUUCUCCUUCAGCUGGUCCAUGUCCAUGUUCUGCAAGUUUUGAAACUGGCCCAUGAUGGAGUCCUUGCCCUCCUCCUCUGUGGCGUCCUCGUCCACCAUCUUGAGCAGCUCUUCGGGCACGUCCACGUCGUCCCCGGCUAUCUCGAUCAUGUUCUCGUCCUGCUCGCUCUGCAGACGACGACGGCGUCGGGGAGAAAACACGGAGGCAGAGGCCUGUACUACGAAGCAAGUUCAACAUACCCAGGUUGUCUACUCGUUA